rnacentral:rRNA from 1 species
AUGUCACCCUUGUUUUACCGUUGCGAUGAUCCUUCCUUGCAUCGCCUCUCAUAUGAGCACACCCGUGUUUCCCUCCUGAGCGACAUCGUGACCAUUCGCACCACCAGUGGUGGUCCUCCUCGGCACAGUGUGGGGCAAGAGCUGUGGUAUCUUCUCGCCAUAGGUCAGCAGGAAAUAAUGGAGACCGUGAGAGAUAGCAAGCGGAGCCCGAGGAAGACACUUGUACCAGGUUUUGCCAACAAUGACCUACUGGCUUGGCUUAUGGAAUGGCCAAUAAUUUGGGGUUCCUUCAUGGUGACCACCAAUCCCUGA